rnacentral:rRNA from 1 species
UGCCUCAAAGAGGGGGACAACAGUUGGAAACGACUGCUAAUACCGCAUAAGCCCACGGAUCCGCAUGGAUCUGCGGGAAAAGGAUUUAUUCGCUUCAGGAUGGACUCGCGUCCAAUUAGCUAGUUGGUGAGGUAACGGCCCACCAAGGCGACGAUUGGUAGCCGGACUGAGAGGUUGAACGGCCACAUUGGGACUGAGACACGGCCCAAACUCCUACGGGAGGCAGCAUG